rnacentral:lncRNA from 1 species
GCACAACCUAACUAUUAAUCUAAAACAAAACGAAAUUGUCGUGUCAAAAUUCAAAAUUGAUAGCACAAAUUUUGUCAUCCAACCCCACUAACCUACCAUGUAAACCGAAACAUAGCCCCUCAUGGAGUGGUCGAGUUGGUGAAGUAAGUGAGCGCGGAAUUCUUUGGUCACGAGUUCGAUUCCUGCUACCAACGCUUUCUUGGUCAAGCAUGUCGCACCGAACUUGUCUAGUGCGAUUUACAUUAUUGGCGUGGUUUGCAGACUAUUACAUCAACUC